rnacentral:rRNA from 1 species
GUCCUAAAUACAAAGCUGAAUACAACUAAAGCCAAACAACACAACAUAGAACACCUCAAAAUAAGAGGCUUA